ACGGAAGGCAGCAGUGGGGAAUAUUGCACAAUGGGGGAAACCCUGAUGCAGCGACGCCGCGUGAGCGAAGAAGUAUUUCGGUAUGUAAAGCUCUAUCAGCAGGGAAGAAAAUGACGGUACCUGACUAAGAAGCCCCGGCUAACUACGUGCCAGCAGCCGCGGUAAUACGUAGGGGGCAAGCGUUAUCCGGAUUUACUGGGUGUAAAGGGAGCGUAGACGGCAAGGUAAGUCUGAAGUGAAAUGCCGGGGCUCAACCCCGGAACUGCUUUGGAAACUAUCUCGCUCGAGCACCGGAGGGGUAAGCGGAAUUCCUAGUGUAGCGGUGAAAUGCGUAGAUAUUAGGAGGAACACCAGUGGCGAAGGCGGCUUACUGGACGGUAACUGACGUUGAGGCUCGAAAGCGUGGGGAGCAAACAGGAUUAGAUACCCUGGUA
rnacentral:rRNA from 1 species